ensembl:miRNA
AGAUCUGGCUCUACGUUGUCCUCAUUGUACAUGCUGUGUGUAUUUGCCACGUACACAGCGCAUGCAAUGUGGACAUAAUGGAGCUCA